CGACUGUCCGGCCGCUGGGCUCAGUGGGGAUGAGUCUGAACUUAGAAGCAGAGUGGCAUUACCUAUAGAGGCCGCGUCAGAAGCACGCUGCCUCUGGACCGUGACCACCGGCCUGGCACCUGCUCGGUGUCCCUGCGGCUCCAGCACUCCGGCUCCUCAGCCCCUCUGCUCAACGCCUACCUCCCUGGGGCCCCCAGGACAUGGGACCCGAGUGUCCACCUGAGGGCCUCUCAAGGACAGAGACGUGGCCUCCAGCCCGGCCCCCUGCUCCUGCCUGCCCUGACCUGGGCCUGGCUGCAGAUGCCAGGGGCUUGAGGCCCCGCCUGCGGGACAGAGGACUGGGGUGGGGCUAUCAGGGAAGGGGGAUCACCCAGAUCCGACAUCUGGGGAGAGUCCCUCACCCUCCCACCCUGCUCCCUCCUCUCCUUCCCCCACCUCCCUUCUCUGACGUCUUCUACCUUU